AAUAGAUACCCUGGUAGUCCAUGCCGUAAACGUUGGGCGCUAGAUGUGGGGACCAUUCCACGGUUUCCGUGUCGCAGCUAACGCAUUAAGCGCCCCGCCUGGGGAGUACGGCCGCAAGGCUAAAACUCAAAGGAAUUGACGGGGGCCCGCACAAGCGGCGGAGCAUGCGGAUUAAUUCGAUGCAACGCGAAGAACCUUACCAAGGCUUGACAUAUACGAGAACGCUCUAGAAAUAGAGAACUCUUUGGACACUCGUAUACAGGUGGUGCAUGGUUGUCGUCAGCUCGUGUCGUGAGAUGUUGGGUUAAGUCCCGCAACGAGCGCAACCCUCGUUCUAUGUUGCCAGCGGUUCGGCCGGGAACUCAUAGGAGACUGCCGGGGUCAACUCGGAGGAAGGUGGGGAGUGACGUCAAAUCAUCAUGCCCCUUAUGUCUUGGGCUUCACGCAUGCUACAAUGGCCGGUACAAAGGGCUGCAAUACCGUAAGGUGGAGCGAAUCCCAAAAAGCCGGUCUCAGUUCGGAUUGAGGUCUGCAACUCG
rnacentral:rRNA from 1 species